UGAGCCACCGCGGCCGGCCUGUCUGCACUCUUUAUUCUUUAACUUUCGUUACAGUGUUACAUACAGAGAAGUGCACAGAGCAGAAGGGGAUGGCUAGCAAGUUACCACAACGCCUGGCAGAGAAGCAGAACUCUGGACAUCAACGAGCCCUCCUGGCGCCCCGCCCUGCCCCCCCGGGGCUGCUCUGUUUUUCAUCUGGCUUUCCUACCAGUGCGGGAAACGGAAGGAGGACUUUUUCUGGAAAAUCAGUGUCUGCGCUUCCCACCGGGCGGGUUGGACCUGAAGACACGUCCGUCCCGCGGAGAAUACGCGACACCGUGACCGACACGCGGCAGUCCUGCCUUAGAAGCGCGGCCGGGCCGGCGCGGGACCCGCAGCCUGGGGACCUUCCUCGCGCCCCAGAGGGGUCUGGGUGGAACGGGAAAAUUAAAAAUUAAAAAAAAAAAAAAAAACGGAAAGGCAAGAAAGGAAGAAGUCCGCUGGAGAACUCCGUGCGAAGGCCCCACUCCUACACGUCCCCGGCCUCAAGGGGAGACGAGGAAGAGAGCGGCCCAACCUGGGCCUGGGAGUAUCGUGACCCAUGUGUUUAAAGAACUAAAACGUGGCGUUAAAAAUAAGUGGACGGGACACCAUCAGAACUGUUUUUUUUGUUUGUUUUGUUUUUAGAUGGAGUCUCACUCUGUCGCCAGGCUGGAGUGCAAUGGCGCGAUCUGGGCUCACUGCAACCUCCACCUCCUGGGUUCAAGUGAUUCUCCUGCCUCAGCCUCCUGCACCCUCCUGUGUAGCUGGGAUUACAGGCACGUGCCACCACGGCUGCCUAAUUUUUGUAUUUUUAGCAGAGAUGGGGUUUCACCAUGUUGGCCAGGCUGGUCUCGAACUGCUGACCUCAGUUGAUCCACCCGCCACAGCCUCCCAAAGUUGGAAUUAAAGGUGUGAGCCACCGCACCCUGCCACACUGUCAGAAUUGAGGAGGCAGAUAUGAGAAACAUCUUAGGAAUAAAAAAGAAUAAAUGAAUUUGAAAACAAUGAAUAGGCUAAGCAGCAAAUUAGAUGCAAAUACAUAUAAAAUUAGCGAACUGGAAGAUAUAUUUGAAGAAGUCACCCAGAGUGCAACACAGACAAAGGGUGAAAAAUAAGUUCUCUUUAGUGGUUAGCAUUGUGAUGGAGUAAAAAGGCCCCACGUGGCCUAACUGGGGCUCUAGGAGGAAAAAAAGUGGAUUAAAUGGGCCAAGGUAAUAGGGAAGAGAUGUGAAUGGAAAGGCACCAUUUCUCAGACUCUGAAGCUUCAGAGAAUCUAAGCAGAGUGUGUUUGAAGAAAACCACAUCUGGACACACCUGUUGUAACUGGAGAUUCUCAAAGACAAAGAUUAUAAAAGCAACUGGAGAGAAGAAUGAGUAACUGUUGAACGGCACUGAAACCAACACCUAAACAGCAAUAGGGGAAGCCGUGAGAAGCAGAGGUCUCAAAUACCUGGGAGGAAACAGCUUUCAACAAGAACUGUUCAUCCCAUGAUAUACCUUUCAAGAAUGAGAGUAAAACAAAAGCAUUUGUAGUUAAACAAAAACUAAGACUUCCACUUUGAGCCACGACAGAAUAACUGGUCCAGAUUUACUCUCUCACCUUAAACAACUAGAAAGAAGGACAAAAUAUAUGCAAAAAUGUCUUUUGAGACAUGGGACAGCGGUCAGAAUUGGGCAGCAGUUACUGAGAGAGGAGAAACUAAUGAGGAGAGACCUUCCAGCCCCUGGCUACUGUCUGGAGAGGAGCUCCAGGCCAGAGCCUGAGAGGGGGUACCCAGAUAAGGCGGGGUCUUGCUGCGGCAGAGACUGAGUUAUAAGUUGGGGGAAGCCAAGGCAACCAGAAUUUUCAGGGCUGAGUACAAGAGAAGAGGGAGCUACAGAGAGAGAAAGAGAUGGGGAAGGAGAGAAAGAGAUGGGGGAGGAGAGAAAGAGAUGGGGUGAGAGAAGGCGAGAGGGAGACCCACCCAGAGAACUGUGGCUGAGCACUGAUCUACGCAUGCCUAUGAAGAAAUUACCUGAGGGGAAAAGAACCACUAGAAAGGAGGAGGCAGAACAUCCGGAGGAGCUCGAACAGGGCUGGGAUUGUUCGUGUUCCCACAAGCCAGAGUGGAAAGACCUCCUAAUUCAAAGGGCAUCGUGGAGGCUGCAGCAGGGUAGUGUGUCAGCAAUGGGGCCAGAUUAGCCCCAGGCUGAAGGACCCACACUAACGAGGCUUCUAAGCAAUCCUCAAAAGGAUUCCAACACAACCCAAGAAUAUUCAAAGUAAUACCAAAAAUUCAGCACCCACCCAUGUACCUUUCACAAUGUCUAUACCAUUCAAUCAAAAACUAUCACACAUAGAAGCAGGAAAAUAUGAUUCAUACCCAGGGUCAAAAUCCAUCAAUAGAAACAGACCCAGAGAAGACAGAUACAAUGGGAUUUGUAUACAAGAACAGUGAGGCAGUGCUAACUAGAUUUCAUAUGCUCAAAAAGGUAGAAGAAGGCAUGGGCGUGAUGAAGAGGUUCUUUUUCAAUGAACAUAAAACAAUUGCCAACAUUCCUUAACAGCAUAUAAAAUAGUGGUACAUCUUAAAAGUGGUGCUACCUUAAAUUUUUGGUGAAAUGUGGUAACAGCAUCUAUUACAACCUGCCUGGUGUUUAUCCCCCUUGGAAUGUAACCAUUACUUUAAUUUAUUUAUCAUUUUAGAAUGAAGUUGGGAGCAAGAGGGAGUGGACUCUCAUUCACUGACUUACUCAUUCUGUUAUCACAUGCGUACUGAAAAUUCAGAGUAAAACCUCGUACUGUGCAACCCAGAAUUUACCAAGAUGAGAAUAAUGAGAUAUAUAAACCAAUAACUCUACACAAAGUGCUGCAAGAGAAGAUUAACAUGAGACAGAAGGAGUUCAGAGGCGAGGAGAAGUCAAGGCUGGCCACACAGCAGAAGAGGAACUUUGGCUGGGCUUGGAUGAUGGGGCAUUUGGACAAGUGAAGCAGUGGAGAAUUUCUUUGAGGGACCUGGGCCUCCACCAGCCCUUUGUAUGAAUUAGAAAGGGACUUUUUCUCUGUUGCCCAACACUGCAGGUGCACUACUUGGGAAGUGAACGGCACCUUUGAAAUGAGGUGCUACUGAAACAAAAGCCUAAAACUGGGGAAAUCAUCUUAGGGAUGGAAGUGUGGGCUAAGAGACCUCAAUGAGACUGAUAGUAAAGUCUCAAAGUUCAGUGAGGGAACACCUGGAAAGAUGGAAAAGAGUGACUGCUGUCAUGUAGCAGCAGAAACGUUAGUUAAAAUAUCCUUUGGGGAAACCAGGACACCAAAAAAUAUACCACAUGAGCUUGUGGGUUUGACUGAAGAGACUUUGAGGCAGACUGUCAUAAUUGGCAACUGCUUUCUUUUAGCUGUGUGUAAUAUAGAUAAAAUAAUGAAGGAAUGUCCCAUUUUUGAGCAAAAUUUAAAGAAAAUAUAAAGGUGUCAGGACUUGGCUGGGUUUCUCUAAGUGGUUUCUCAUAUGCAUCUUUCAGACAAAGAAAUAUUCUCACAGUAAGAAAAUGCUGCGUGGCAAAGAUGGAACUCAGUGUGUUUGAAGUCAACUAUGGCUGUGGGGUAAAGUUCAGAUUAAAAGUGUGGAUUUCAUACCUUUUAUUGAGACUUGAGAAAGAUUUAAGGCAUGCCUCAUUUACUCUUUCAGUGAGACUGAGAGACUUGUGAUGAUAUCUUUGUCUAAUGGAGUGAGACCCCCUUAAGAUUUGUAGGAAAUCCACCAAGUUUUUAAGAGAAUUGUAUUGGUGGAAGCACUGUCAGCUCUGAAUAAAGGGACAAUUCAAAAUUAGAAGAAGUCUCUGGGACAUCCAUCUUCUAUGUCCAGGAAGAUGACUAAGAGAGGUAAUCAGAUGAAAAUAUGGACCGUUUUUCGGGGGAAAGGAAGGGUGACUCAGAGGGUGGAGUCAAGAGCAUGGAGGGAGAGGCAAGAGCAUAGAACAAACACUCAGCUCUAAUUAAGGUACACUUCCUACCUCUAGAGCAGGGGAAUUGGUGCCCUGCAGCUGGAUUUUAGCUGUGUGGGCAUUGACUGCUAAUGUGCCGCCAGCUUUCUGACUUUUCAGUCAGAAAGACCGAUCCUGGUUUCUUUCCUCCCCAUUGUAUUAAAAUGUUGGGUGUGUGGAAGAGGGAAUUUGACCCCUUUAGUUUGCAGGUCUUCACGCUGGGAGGGAUUGCGCUUGAGUAAAUGCAUCUUAGGAAUACACUGGGGGUACUUUACAGACCUGACAUAGAUGAUGAGACCCUGGACUUUGUGCUGAUGCCAUAAUGGGCUGGGAUGUUGGAGGCCUUGGUGAAGGAGGUGAGUGUAUUUUGCAUAUGCAAAGGACAGGAAUGCCUGUAGCCAAAGAGUAGACCAUGCCAUUAUGUUCUUUUUCUUUUUGUUUGUUUUGAGACGGAGUUUCGCUGUUGUUGCCCAGGCUGGAGUGCAAUGGCAUGAUCUUGGCUCACUGCAAUCUCUGCCUCCUGGGUUCAAGCGAUUCUCCUGCCUCAGCCUCUGUAGUAGCUGGGAUUACAGGCAUGCACCACCAUGUCCAGCUAAUUUUGUAUUUUUAGUAGAGACAGGGUUUCUCCAUGUUGCUCAGGCUGGUCUCAAAUUCCUGACCUCAGGUGAUCCACCCACCUGGGCCUCCCGAAGUGCUGGGAUUACAGGUGUGAGCCACCGUGCCUGGCCGACAUUAUGUUAUUUUUCUAAGGUGGCCACAGCAAUGGUUUUCCAUCCCACAUGUUCUUCAACGUGAACUUGCUACAUCCUGAAGAGAUGGGUCUAUUUCUUGACCCUCUUACACAGUCAAAUGAGGCAAAGUAGAAAAUUCAUUCAUUCUUAGCCUAAGAUAAGCAUGCAGAGGAAGAGACAUUAAUGAAUUCAUGCAGCAUGAAAUUUUCCCAGUGGGGGAAUAAAAAAGAUACAUUAUUAGAACAAAUAGAAUUAUAAAAUGACAUAAGUGGCUAUAUCUUUUUAGGACACUCUUCAAUAAAAUCAAGCUGUUUAGCAUUAUUGCAUUUUAACUACAUUCCAUUUUUCUGACAUUAACCAAAAAAGCUUAACAAUUAAUUUGGUAUAUUUUGAAGUCUGUCCCUAAAAUAUUUGCAGUCCCCUCAGGCUAGAUCAUGGGCUUCCUGGCACUCCACUCCAGCAACAGUGUACUAUGGUCCUCAUCACCUGGUGUACUUACCGUCAUGACCACCCAGAGGUAAAAGGGAGCUGCAGCCCAUGGCUGGCCAGGACCCUGGGUUUUCAGAAAUCCCUGCUAUGUUAAUAUGCUGUCCACUUGUUUGCUCAACUGCCUCACUUCAGGCUCAACAUCUCUAGAAAAACAGAUAUUAGGGAAGUCCCUGGCCCAGUUGCAGGGCCGGCGCACUUCAGCAGCCCCAAGUGUAAGCUGCACAGGCAAGCUGAAAGCCAGGUCCUCACUGUGGUGCCCCUCGUCUCCCCCAAGCCUGGCACCCCAGGGCCCAUUUCUGUAUCAGUGUGUCCCAGCCCUGGCUUUCAUCUCACAAGGAUAACAGCAAAUAGCUUAAAGGAAAUAAAGAAAACGUGGGUUGAAAGGGCACAGUACAUCCUAGGCAAAAGGUGCAUCAUGAGCAAGAAUGACAUACAGACCGAGGGUGUGCUGGAGAUGGCUCACACCAGCCCUUAGAGCUGGCUGUUAAAUUAUCAAGAAUAGUGUGAGCCAGUUGUUAAUCCCAGCCAUUAUCGUACAUCAAAUUAACAAAUUUACAACCAAAUCAAUUAUAUCAAAAACAAAGUUAAUAGAUACUCCACACUCAUUUCUUCCUAAUUAUUUUUAACCUGUUUUGCUACUGUUUAUGCCCUGGAGGCUGCUUAUGACAACUGUACCUGUAUGAUGGAGUUGCUACACAAAGGUGGCUACUGUGUAUCUCUUUCCAACUCUGCAUUCAGUGACAUUUGGUAGCUGGAAAUCCACCACAGUGGGAGUUUUACCAGAAACUGGCAAAUGCUACAAUCAGGGCUUUCCCCGAAGAAAGCUGGUUGGUAAACAUUUGCCUGCACACUACAGAUAAAGAACUAUGAGCUCUUCAUAGCGGGUUGCAUACCAAGGAGAGUACAAGAGGCCACCUCAGAACUCCCACUGAGUGCUCUUGUGGAGAAGGAGACAGAGCAGGGUCUACACAGUUAGGGUGGAAAUGGGCUCUGGGAGUUUUAUACCCAUCCAAGUUCUCGCUCACAUGUGGAGGACAGCAGGUAACGUGCUGACACUGAAGGACAACAGCCCAAGUACAUCCAGGUUUGUAGCGGUAUGGCCAAAAAGGACACUCCUUUCAUGAAGGCAUCCCAUGAUGCCUUUGUGGAAGGGACCCCCAACCCACGGGCCACAGACCAGUACCAGUCUGUGGCCUGUUAGGAACCGGCCUGCACAGCAGCAAGUGAGUGGUGGGCCAGCGAGCAUGACCACCUGACCUAACCUCCUGUCCGAUCUGCGGUGGCAUUACAUUCUCAGGGGCACAAACCCUAUGUGAAUUGCACAUUCAAGGGUUCUAGGUUGUGCACUCCUUAUGAGAAUCUAAUGCCUGAUGAUCUGAGAUGGAACAGUUUUGUCCUGAAAUCCUGAAACCAUAGCCCCCUGCCACCCCUCAUCUGUGGAAAAAUUGUCUUCCAUGAGACUGGUUCCUAGUGCCAAAAAGUUUGGGGACCACUGCUUUAUAGUACCUAAAAUUAUAUGUUUUUGUUGACAGAGUUUUCUAGAGGGAUCUGCAAGAAGCUGUUACGAUUUAUUGCAUGGGGAGGGAAGCUCAGGGUGGUUAGAAUUCUUUACUUCUCCUGUGUUGAUUGCACUUUCUACAUUGUAUGUAUGUACCUUUAAUAUUUUAUAAAUGUGUGUUUUUUAGAAGAGAUAUGCUGACAUAGGACACAGAAAGAUUUAAAAUAAAAUGAAAGAAAAGAUAUAUUAAACCAAUAUUACCCAUUAGAAAGCUGCUGAAUUGCUAUGACUGUCCCAUGAAAUAGACUUAAAGGCAAAAAGCAUCAUGAACGUUAAAGAAAAUAAGAAGAAUGACUCACCAGCAGGACAAAAACUGUGAUGGACAAAAACUGUGGACAUGAGGAAUGACUGUGAUGGAGAAGAACAAGAACUGUGAUGAACCCAUAUGCACCUAAGAACAUGGCCUCCAAACACAGAAAGCAAACACUAACGGAACUGUGAGUCCACAAUCUCAAGAAGUUUUGUAUGUCUCUUUCAAUGACAAGACAAUAACAACAAAAAAUUAGGAUACAAAAGAA